GACGAACGCUGGCGGCGUGCUUAACACAUGCAAGUCGAACGGAAAGGCCCUGCUUUUGUGGGGUGCUCGAUUGGCGAACGGGUGAGUAACACGUGAGUAACCUGCCCUUGACUUUGGGAUAACUUCAGGAAACUGGGGCUAAUACCGGAUAGGAGCUCCUGCUGCAUGGUGGGGGUUGGAAAGUUUCGGCUGUUGGGGAUGGACUCGCGGCUUAUCAGCUUGUUGGUGGGGUAGUGGCUGACCAAGGCUUUGACGGGUAGCCGGCCUGAGAGGGUGAACGGGCACAUUGGGACUGAGAUACGGCCCAGAAUCCUACGGGAGGCAGCAGUGGGGAAUAUUGCACAAUGGGCGGACGCCUGAUGCAGCAACGCCGCGUGCGGGAUGACGGCCUUCGGGUUGUAAACCGCUUUCGAAUGUGACGAAGCGUGAGUGACGGUAAUGGGUAAAGAAGUACCGGCUAACUACGUG
rnacentral:rRNA from 1 species